AUGUUUCCAAUUCAUCUUGUAUCACCUUUACAUGGGGAACCCCUUGUUCCUUUUUUCUUUCUUUCUUUUUUAAUUAAUGUAUUUAUUCAAAGGAGGAGGGAAGUGGGGGGAGAAAGGGAGCUAAUGUAGUGGGGAGGCCGGGCUCUGGUACUCUGGGGUGGGAUGCACUAGGAUGCUCACCCCCCUCUGAGAGUCCUUGGGGCAGGGGGCAGGUAACAGUCCUUCCUGCUCCUAGUUCCCGGCUCUCCUUUCCCUGGGCUGGCCCAGAAAGGAGCCCACGAGGAAAGAGGCGCUUUGGGUUGGUUCUUAAGAGCAAAUACGAAACUAAACUUAGCCGGCUCGCCUUUCCUCGCCUCGACCCCCGGGAGCCCGGAGCGCAAGCAGGCGCGAGCCGCCCCAUCCCUCCCGGGCCGCUCCUCGCGCUGGCUCCAGCCAAAUGCACCGUGUGUUUCCUGCUCGCCAGGGAAUGAGUAUUCUGAGAUGGAAGUGCCCAGACACUUCUGGAGAUCCAGAGGUUCCUCAGAGAUCCCACUGGCAACUGGAGUCAUUAGCAAAGUCCAGAUGCAGCUGAAUGGUUGGCCUAGCAGGAGAUGACCUGCCAAGCAGAGCGCUGCACCUAAGGGAAACUUCGUAAGCACUUCCAGAGUCAGAAGACAGAAGGUGUCUCUUGGGCACACGCAUUCUCUACAAGCAUACCUCAGUACUAUUAUACUUUAAUUUUGAUCCUACUCUCUCAAAAGACAUUGUGUAUGCAAGGGGAGAAUGCGCCUCCUAUUUGGGGAGUGGUUUGUAUCAGCUGUUCUUGCUAUAUACCAUCUUAGUAAUGCCAUUUUCUAUGAGUUAAUUGGGUUCAUUUGGGGUUCCACUUUGGGGAGGGGUCUGCCAUCCUUUAUCCGCCUCCUGAUUCUGCUUCUGACUCUCCUGACUUUGAUACCAUGACUCUCCAUGGGUGCCUCCUCCCUGCCCCUAAUUUUCAGCUCCCUUUUAUACAUUGUCUUCCCCAACUGGAAUAGAAAACUCCUUGAGGGCAGAGACUAUCUUUAUUUUCGCUUGUAUUUGAAUCCUGAGCAUCUAGCACGGUGCCUAGCACAUAUUAAACAUUUAAUAAAUGCUCAUUGACUUGU